rnacentral:rRNA from 1 species
GGGGGGAUUAGUGGCGAACGGGUGAGUAACACGUGAGUAACCUGCCCUUAACUCUGGGAUAAGCCUGGGAAACUGGGUCUAAUACCGGAUAUGACUCCUCAUCGCAUGGUGGGGGGUGGAAAGCUUUAUUGUGGUUUUGGAUGGACUCGCGGCCUAUCAGCUUGUUGGUGAGGUAAUGGCUCACCAAGGCGACGACGGGUAGCCGGCCUGAGAGGGUGACCGGCCACACUGGGACUGAGACACGGCCCAAACUCCUACGGGAGGCAGCAGUGGGGAAUAUUGCACAAUGGGCGAAAGCCUGAUGCAGCGACGCCGCGUGAGGGAUGACGGCCUUCGGGUUGUAAACCUCUUUCAGUAGGGAAGAAGCGAAAGUGACGGUACCUGCAGAAGAAGCGCCGGCUAACUACGUGCCAGCAGCCGCGGUAAUACGUAGGGCGCAAGCGUUAUCCGGAAUUAUUGGGCGUAAAGAGCUCGUAGGCGGUUUGUCGCGUCUGCCGUGAAAGUCCGGGGCUCAACUCCGGAUCUGCGGUGGGUACGGGCAGACUAGAGUGAUGUAGGGGAGACUGGAAUUCCUGGUGUAGCGGUGAAAUGCGCAGAUAUCAGGAGGAACACCGAUGGCGAAGGCAGGUCUCUGGGCAUUAACUGACGCUGAGGAGCGAAAGCAUGGGGAGCGAACAGGAUUAGAUACCCUGGUAGUCCAUGCCGUAAACGUUGGGCACUAGGUGUGGGGGACAUUCCACGUUUUCCGCGCCGUAUCUAACGCA